GUGGGGAAUAUUGGACAAUGGGCGAAAGCCUGAUCCAGCCAUGCCGCGUGUGUGAAGAAGGUCUUCGGAUUGUAAAGCACUUUAAGUUGGGAGGAAGGGCAGUAAGUUAAUACCUUGCUGUUUUGACGUUACCGACAGAAUAAGCACCGGCUAACUUCGUGCCAGCAGCCGCGGUAAUACGAAGGGUGCAAGCGUUAAUCGGAAUUACUGGUCGUAAAGCGCGCGUAGGUGGUUUUGUAAGUUGGAGGUGAAAUCCCCGGGCUCAACCUGAGAACUGCCUCCAAAACUGCAUGACUAGAGUACGGUAGAGGGUAGUGGAAUUUCCUGUGUAGCGGUGAAAUGCGUAGAUAUAGGAAGGAACACCAGUGGCGAAGGCGACUACCUGGACUGAUACUGACACUGAGGUGCGAAAGCGUGGGGAGCAAACAGGAUUAGAUACCCCGGUAGUCC
rnacentral:rRNA from 1 species